rnacentral:ncRNA from 1 species
ACAGAGAUUAGCGCAAACUUUGUUUACUCAAUCCGUGGAUUACUAGAACUUGUUUCACCUAAACUCAUAAUUUUGCGUUUACGGAAAAUCGACCAAUAAUCAUUUUUACCAAAAAGUGUUCUCUCAUGAAGCAACGAAAGCCAGUCUUGGAUAGUUUCUUGGCGUGACGUGUUGGGUUAAGUCUCGCAACAAGCGCAACCCUCGUGUUUAGUUUCCACUAUGAGUUUGGAACCCUGAACAGACCGCCGGUGUUAAGCUGGAGGAAGGAGAGGAUGAGGCCAAGUCAUCAUGCCCCUUAUGCCCUGGGCGACACACGUGCUACAAUGGGCAGGACAAAGGGUCGCGAUCACGCGAGGGUGAGCUAACUCCAAAAACCCGUCCUCGGUUCGGAUUGCAGAGUGCAACUCACCUGCAUGAAGCCGGAAUCGCUAGUAAUCGCCGGCCAGCCAUACGGCGGUGAAUCCAUUCCCGGGCCUUGUA